UACGAAGGGGGCUAGCGUUGCUCGGAAUUACUGGGCGUAAAGCGCACGUAUGCGGCUUGUUAAGUCAGGGGUGAAAUCCUGGAGCUCAACUCCAGAACUGCCUUUGAUACUGGCGAGCUUGAGUUCGGGAGAGGUGAGUGAAACUGCGAGUGUAGAGGUGAAAUUCGUAGAUAUUCGCAAGAACACCAGUGGCGAAGGCGGCUCACUGGCCCGAUACUGACGCUGAGGUGCGAAAGCGUGGGGAUCAAACAGG
rnacentral:rRNA from 1 species